rnacentral:rRNA from 1 species
GUACACGCUGUGACUAGCAUAUCAAUAAGCGGAGGAAAAGAAACUAACAAGGAUUCCCCUAGUAACGGCGAGUGAAGCGGGAAGAGCUCAAAUUUGAAAUCUUAAAGGGUUUCCCUUUACGAAUUGUAGUUUAAAGAAGUGUUUUCUGUUGAGGUUUUGGUAAAAGUUCUUUGGAAUAGGACAUCAUAGAGGGUGAGAAUCCCGUAUUUGACCUUUACUUUCAACUUUGUGAUACACUUUCAAAGAGUCGGAUUGUUUGGGAAUGCAGUCCAAAAUGGGUGGUAAAUUUCAUCUAAAGCUAAAUAUUGGCGAGAGACCGAUAGCGAACAAGUACCGUGAGGGAAAGAUGAAAAGAACUUUGAAAAGAGAGUUAAACAGUACGUGAAAUUGUCAAAAGGGAAGCGUUUGACACCAGUGUUGUUUUUCUGAAAAUCAAUUAAAGAACUGUUUAUGCUAAGCUGUUUAGACUUUAUCAGCUAUCUGUUUAGUUUUGAGCUUUUCUUUAAUGCACUUUUCAGUUAACAAGUCAACAUCAAUUUCUUUUGCUGUAAAAAAGCUUGAGGAAGGUGGCUUGAGAUUCGUCUUAAGUGUUUAUAGCCUCUUGCCUAUGCAGUCGGAGAGAUUGAGGUCUGCAGCGUAGAUCCUUCGGGGCUAAAUGCAUUUGUGCUAAGUUAUAGCAUUUUAUAGACAACUUGUUGACUAUGAUUUGUCUUGUAGCUUACUCGCUUAUGUUAUUUUACCUACGCUUAGGAUGUUAAAGAUGUAGCACAUCAU